GAUGAACGGCUGACAGAAUGCUUAACACAUGCAAGUCGACUCGAGUCUUCGGACUUGGGUGGCGCACGGGUGAGUAACGCGUAAAGAAACUUUGCCUCUUAGACCGGGACAACAUCUGGAAACGGAUGCUAAUACCGGAUAUUAUGGUUUUUUUCGCAAUGGAGGAAUCAUGAGAGCUAGAUGCGCUAAGAGAGAGCUUUGCGUCCCAUUAGCUAGUUGGUGAGGUAACGGCCCACCAAGGCAAUGAUGGGUAGCCGGCCUGAGAGGGUGAACGGCCACAAGGGGACUGAGACACGGCCCUUACUCCUACGGGAGGCAGCAGUGGGGAAUAUUGGACAAUGGACCACAAGUCUGAUCCAGCAAUUCUGUGUGCACGAUGACGUUUUUCGGAAUGUAAAGUGCUUUCAGUCGGGAAGAAGUCAGUGACGGUACCGACAGAAGAAGCGACGGCUAAAUACGUGCCAGCAGCCGCGGUAAUACGUAUGUCGCAAGCGUUAUCCGGAUUUAUUGGGCGUAAAGCGCGUCUAGGCGGCAAGGAAAGUCUGAUGUGAAAAUGCGGAGCUCAACUCCGUAUGGCGUUGGAAACUGCCUUACUAGAGUACUGGAGAGGUAGGCGGAACUACAAGUGUAGAGGUGAAAUUCGUAGAUAUUUGUAGGAAUGCCGAUGGGGAAGCCAGCCUACUGGACAGAUACUGACGCUAAAGCGCGAAAGCGUGGGUAGCAAACAGG
rnacentral:rRNA from 1 species